GGUAUCACCUUAGUGGAGCUGACAAAGCUCAAAGCAAACUGGUAGUGGCUCACUGAGGAUCCGUACCAGCAAGGUGUCUUGACAUCAAGGUGGAAAGGAUCUCAGUGCAGGUGUGACCUCAAGAAGCAUCCCUGCUCAAGGGGAGAGCUCGUCCUGCAGCCUGCUGCUGUGCAGGAGAGCCUAAGAGGUGCUCGUGCUGCUCUCUAUUUUGGUGCUAAGAUGAUUGACUCAUUGCUGUAUUUGUUUUUAGGCACGUGCUCAGUUGGCCCUCAGCUGUUGAGCCAGAGGUCUGCUGUGAGUUCUUGCAGCCUCCCAGCCUGAGACAGUUUUGUCAUCGCCAAUGUGAUUUAGCCAGGAGUGUUGCUCACUGUCUUCCUGUGCCAGGCUGAGGGAGGAAGGAAGAGAGAAAGGGAGAGGAGGGAGCGCACCAUCACACUGGCUUUGCUGGGAAGGAAGCCUGAUCACAGCAGAGUGAGUCUGCCUGCGUCAGCAGAAGAGCUGCCUUCGUGGAGGUGCAGAUGCAGCUGGCCGCUGUGGAAUUCAUCUUGAACCACUCAGAUGUCCUCUUCCGCUCCAAAUCCAGCCCGCUCAUUGGAGAUGGAGCGAGACGCAGUUCUUAAUUGUGGCCCAAGGCCCCGUGGGCUUCUU